rnacentral:piRNA from 1 species
UGAUGAGAGUAACAGCCCGACGGUCCC